CAUGAAUGAUCUUAAUUCCAGUGUAAACAACGAAGAGUGUGGUUAUAACACCCGGAAAAAAUUAAAUCACACAAAAACAAAGGUCCUGUUUGAUCUACCCAUUUAUCUACUAUAGACAGUUAUGGCAGAUUGUGGUUGGUUAUGGAGUAUAUUGUGGGCCAUAAUUUUAUUGGUAUUUGGAUGGCCAAUUGGAUUUAUUUGUGCAAUAUUUUACUGUUUACUAAGUCCAUUUGCUGCAUGUUGUCAUGGAUGUAAUGAAUUAAUUAAUUUAUUAGAAAGAGGAGUAAAGUUACCUCUGACUUGUUCUCAGAAUAUGGUGAAGGGAAAAUCUAUGUGUUGAUAAUAUUGCAAUUAGCAUUAUGGGUUAGAUAGACAGGUGCUUAAUCAGGAAUCUUGUGCAAGUUUUUGAAAUAUGUGUAUGAAGGAUGGAUCCAAAUUUUAUAAUUUUUGCACUUAAUAUAUAUAAUUGUCAAAGUAUUAAAGUGAUGUACUGGUAUGCAUGGUAUGUUGUGUUCUUAUGUUUGGAUGAAUAACUUGAGCUCAUAUUCACUGGUCUUUCUAAUGCUUGUCAUCAAUAAUUUUAAUCUCAGUUAACAUAAGAUCUCUUGUAAUUGUUGUUAUAUAUAUUUAUAAAUAUACUAUAAAUAAUGUAGUUUUUUUAUACCACAAAUAUUUUAUGUUAAAAUGUAAUUAUUUCAUGUAUGUUUCAUGGUUGAAUACCUUCACAUUUUGUAUACAUAUUCUUAUUCAAUAAUUAAACAGUGUCGCUAGAAUUA